rnacentral:rRNA from 1 species
AUGGCCGGAGCCUCUAAUGGUCAAAAGAUAUGGCCCGUCCUCCGUUAUGCUGUUACAAAACCCGUUGUUAUACACCGCGUCUGCGACGGCCUCCUCAUCCUGGGGCAUAAAUCUGAUUUCUACAUCUGUAAUCCAACCACCCGCAAGUGUGCUUUCCUGCCACAUCCUCCACAACGACCAGGCGUCAGCGUCAUUGCCGUAGUCGCCUUCUACCGGCACCACACAUCUAGAGAAUACCGGGUUCUCUGGGUGUCAUACUCCAGACCGAUCAGCUCUGGUGUCCCAGUGCAGUCACCUGAGUACUUCGUCCUCACGGUGGGAUCAAAUCAGCCAAGAUGCAUCGAGUGGCCGACAGUUUCACAACACACGCUUCAUGUCACCCAGUCCCCCUACUGUCCACCAGUCCACCAUCGUGGUAGCUUGCACUGGGCAUUUGGCCUCAACUUGACUGUAUUUGACAGCGUAGCUGAGACAUUCCGGCAGAUGAGCCGCCCAAUAGAGUUGGGUGCUUUGGUGUCAUUGUUGGACAUGGGUGGAUCCCUUGAUUUGUGGCACACCACCUGUGAUAGCAUCACUUUCGAUAUUUGGGUGUUGCAGGACUAUGAUGCUGAGACAUGGGGCUUUCAGUACCGGAUUAGCUUGUUUACGAUGGAGGCAUCACCACCGCUUAAUUUGGGGGUGAUAUAUCGCCCUAGUAUGGCUGUGAUCAAUGAGCAUGAGCUGUUGAUUGAGCAGCGUCCUGACCGUCUAUUGCAUUGCGACACUGAUGGUGUGUUUUUAGGAAAUGUGGAAAGUGAAGAACAUGGAAACCAGCUGAUACUUACCAGACAUCUUUUCCAAGAGAGCAUGAUUUCACUUCCAUUGUUUGAGACACAAGAAGACGAUGAUGUGAAGGAGCCUCCAUUCCUCAUAGUGCUAUAA